GAUUUUCUGUGAUGACCAAUCUUACCCACAUUGUUUGAGUUUUACUCUGAUAACACUAAAUGUCUGAGAAAAUC